CGAGACGUGUGCGUGACCUGAGAGAAGAUGGCGGAAAACGCUUCAUGUAUACCGUCUCGUUUAACGUCCUGUAGCCUAUAUGUGUUCAUUUAUGAAAGUUAACAGUUUUAGAUAAAAUUACCUAUUAAGGCCUGUAGUCUUACAGACAAUGUCAUUAUUCAUAUCAUAAUUUUGAAGUCUUCAAACUCAGGACUGUUGAAAAAUCCAGUUUGGUCUGACUCAGCUACCAAAACACACACAGGCUGAGCUAGAAGAAGCAAUAGUGUGAUGUUAGAAAUAAUUCAAAUAGAGGUUAGUCUGAUUAUAUGUUUAAUUUUCUUAUUAUGAACCUGAAACACUGAAAGGAUUCAUGUACAGAUUAUAUUUAUUAGCCAAGCAAAUUCAGCUUGGUUUGAUCAGCUACCAGGCCGAGCUGGUGAAGCUGUAGUGCUGGUAGAAAGGAAACUUCUGAAUUAAUAAUGCUUCAUGAUAGACAACUUGUUUUUAAGAAAAUAACACAACUCUAAGGCAAUUUAAUAAUACUGAGCCGCUAAGGGGACAUGGUGAUGGAAAAAAUGACAUGGGAGGAACAUUUCUAUUUCGAUGCUUUUUCACUCGCAAAACUUUUGUGUUCCCACAAGAAACUUUGCAUUUGCUGACAAAACUUUUGCGUUCUCUCGCUAAGAUAUUCGAGAGACUGCAAAUAUCUUUGUGAGAGAACAGAUGUUUUGUGAACAAACACAAAAGCAUUAAAAUAGAAAUUUUCCUCCCAUCUCAUAUUUUUUUCCAUCAUUAUGUCGCCUUAGGGGAUCUGUAGAAUAUCUCAAACGUUUACUGACAAAUUUAGUCAUGUAAGGAAUCUGGGAAAUAACUUUGACCACUUCAGCCUGUGUUUUGGCGGCUGGUUACUGAUCAGACUAAGCUGGAUUUUUCAGCAUAUACAGCAAAUGAGUCUAAUUAGAAAUGAAGCAUGUGUGGAUUUAAGCUGAAAUAGUAUUUUUUGUAAUAUUUUUGAGAUUUCAAAAAUCAAAUUUAAAAUUUUACAGAAGAGCCAAGAAGAGAGAACAGUUUAAUGAGUGGAUUAGUGAACUGUGUGUGUGUGUGUGUGUGUGUAGGUUAAAUUUAUGGACAGCAAGCUAAAGACCUGUGUGUAACCUGGUACAUCGUCUGGCUGGCAUAGCGGGAGGUUGUAGGGCAGCACAGGGAAUUCCAGUGGAAGAUCGGUCAGGACCUGGAGCAGCGGGGAGCCGGAGCAGCACAAUCCUCUGCUUCCUCCCAAAAGCACUCUGGCAAAAAAAAAAAACCUGGAAUUAUCUCAAUGUGUCAAACUGAGUUUCAGUUUCCAA